UACGUAGGGGGCAAGCGUUGUCCGGAAUCAUUGGGCGUAAAGAGCGCGUAGGCGGUCCGGUAAGUCGGUUGUGAAAACUGGGGGCUCAACCCUCAGAGGCCGACCGAUACUGCCGGGCUAGAGUCCGGAAGAGGCGAGUGGAAUUCCUGGUGUAGCGGUGAAAUGCGCAGAUAUCAGGAGGAACACCGAUGGCGAAGGUAGGUCUCUGGGCAUUAACUGACGCUGAGGAGCGAAAGCAUGGGGAGCGAACAGG
rnacentral:rRNA from 1 species